rnacentral:rRNA from 1 species
AUUGAACGCUGGCGGCAGGCCUAACACAUGCAAGUCGAACGGUAACAGGAAGAAGCUUGCUUCUUUGCUGACGAGUGGCGGACGGGUGAGUAAUGUCUGGGAAACUGCCUGAUGGAGGGGGAUAACUACUGGAAACGGUAGCUAAUACCGCAUAACGUCGCAAGACCAAAGAGGGGGACCUUCGGGCCUCUUGCCAUCGGAUGUGCCCAGAUGGGAUUAGCUAGUAGGUGGGGUAACGGCUCACCUAGGCGACUAUCCCUAGCUGGUCUGAGAGGAUGACCAGCCACACUGGAACUGAGACACGGUCCAGACUCCUAGGGGAGGCAGCAGUGGGGAAUAGUGCAAAAUGGGCGCAAGCCUGAUGCAGCCAUGCAGCGUGUAUGAAGAAGGCCUGCGGGUUGUAAAGUACUUUCAGCGGGGAGGAAGGGAGUAAAGUUAAUACCUGUACUCAUUGACGUUACCCGCAGAAGAAGCACCGGCUAACUCCGUG